CUUAUUAUUUUAUCUAUGGAAUUAUUUUGUGCACAUUCCGCACCAUGGGACCGCGCCAUUAAUGGAUAACGUGUAUCUCUCGCGGUUUCUUGCUUUUCUUGCAGUUUUUAUUUAUGCGAAUAAGCAGGAAUUUGUUGAAUAAUCUCGAGCCGAGAAAGAGAGCGAUAAAUGGGAUUGGUGUCUCUGUUCCUCUGCGUAUUACUUGUCAGGACAAGAUUUGAAAAGUUAAUAUCGCUCAAAACUAUGAAAGGAGUAAUAAAUCGCUGAAAGCCGUUUUGUGAGGUUAGGAAAGUUAUCAUGCCGACCUGAUGCAUUCAAUACUGCAACCAACUACACCUACCGCUUAUUGAGCGUAUUUAGUAUCCCAGAUUAGGAUGCACAACAAUAUAUAUUUAUUGUUAGCGAAAAUAUAAUACAUACUAUGACAGAAAACUACCAAACAGAGAGUAAGAUCAUAUUUUUUAAAUUAUUAAAUUAAAAAAAAGAAAGUUUGAAGAUAUAUAUAAAGUGUACAUAUAUUUUUAAAAGUUUAUAGUUUCGUAAUUCACAGAAAUAAAUCAAGCACAAGU